rnacentral:rRNA from 1 species
AGUAACGCGUGGGUAACCUGCCUCAUACAGGGGGAUAACAGUUAGAAAUGGCUGCUAAUACCGCAUAAGCCCACGGCUCGGCAUCGAGCAGAGGGAAAAGGAGUGAUCCGCUUUGAGAUGGCCUCGCGUCCGAUUAGCUAGUUGGUGAGGUAACGGCCCACCAAGGCAACGAUCGGUAGCCGGACUGAGAGGUUGAACGGCCACAUUGGGACUGAGACACGGCCCAG